AUGGACUAAAAAACCACUCUACUAUUUUACAUAGAAAUAGUAGAGUCCAAAAAAAAAGCUAUAGAGCAAGGAAAAAAAAAACUUUUAACCCUAAAUCCCCUUUCUCCACCGAAUCAAAACCCAGAUCUUCACAAUAGUGAAGCUCUUCUUCCCCAGUUCUCCUCAUAGUUUUCUCUAAGCUAAUUAUAACUUUACAACCUUCAAAGGACGAUUUGGGUUUCUUGGUACCUCUAUUAGCCAUAAAUUCUCGUGUAGGAAGCUCCGGGUCUAGAGUUAGAAAUAUCGAUUGAGAUGUGGAAAAGCGAUUCAGCGGCAAUUCGAUGAGAGAAAGCGAAGCCGGGGUCCAGAGAGUGGCGUCCUGGCAAACGGCGGUGGCGAAUACGACGGAUGCGACGCGAUUGUUACGGGAUAAGCGGAGACGAUGGAGCCGGGGUCUAGAGAGUGGCGUCCUUUCGUUAGGGUUUCCCAUUGAGUUUCUUCGCUAGUCUCUGCCGGAGUUUGUCUGGUCCUUCUUCCUAGUCGAUUUUGUUGCUCAAGGUGGUUUUAUAUAUACAAUGGGAAGAGGUCUUCUUCUCUGGCGAGCUUGCAACCGCGAGAGCUUCUUCUGCUGCUGGAACAAUAUGACUUUAUCUUCGUGGGCUACUUGUAGUGUUGCGGAAGUUGCUUCCACAGGACCAGGGAUUCGUUUUUAACAACUUUAUGUCAGUUUCAUAUAGUUCUACUUGGUCUUUUGAAAAUCUGGCUUUGAAUCGUCUGUUUGUUCUCUUGAUGCAGGUGUAUAAGGAUAGAAAUGUGGUAAGACAGCUUGUAAAAAGAGCUGAAGAAGCUGGAUUUAAAGCGAUCGCUCUUACCGUUGAUACUCCAAGGCUUGGAAGAAGAGAAUCUGACAUAAAAAACAGCUGAAGGAUCCCCUGCUAGAUUUUUUGUUGUUCAUUCGAUAUACAAAGGAAAGCUGCGUUAACAGUAGAUCCAAGAGCACCAGAGUUUGUGGCUUUAGACGUAAGUCUCUCUCCCAAAGAUCAAAGAGCCUCUAAUUGUACAACUGCUCCAGUUUGCUCCUUCAGCUGGUGUAUGACAAUACGAUUGGACUAAGAAACAUUGUCUGACUAUUUGGAGUUUCCAACAUGGGUCGGUUUGUGAUACUCCAAAUCAUUUCCUCAAAAAAAGAAGCUUCCAGCUUUUGGAGUAGUGGGUUCCAAGCUCUCUGAGAAUGUUUGAAUCAUGCCAAGGACCUCAGAUCAGGAGAACAUUAACAUUAAUGAAGAGUCUGGGAUGCAGACCGUGUCAGGAUUGAGGCUGUUCCAGACUGAGUCUAAGUUCUCUUUAGUCUACAGAGACAUCGAAGGUAUCUGGAGGACUGUUGGGGACAUUCCAUGGAAGGAGUUUGUCGAAAGCGUGGAUCGGAUGAGAAUUGCAAGAAGAAACCAUGUUCUUCCUCCCUUUUAAGCUUUUAAGUCGAAGCUUCUCUCUUCUAGGGAGUUCACUGUUUAUCUAAGAUUCAAAUUAGCUUACUUGUGGUCUCUAAUAUUUAACAUCUGAUGUACCAGAAACUUUAAGCUAUAAAAACGAUUAUGAAGA